GGAUAGCAGAUAUCGGAGAGAUGGCAACAGUAGCAUAUGUGGUGGUAAUAGCAGAUGUCAAGCCCUUGUUUCGAGAGGUCCACCAGUCCCACAGCACAACUGCCACCCGCAGUAUCUUCUCCUUCUCGCGAGGCAAGGUAAAAAUCUGCUCAAACAUACCAUCUUCCAUAUUUUGCUCCGGCCACGCAGCCUUGACUAGCUUGCACUUGAGAAACUAGUGAUUUUCGCAAACCUAGCCCUCAAAGUAGUGGUUUUAUGCAAUUUACUUCAAUUUGACUAUAACGAGCAUCAGAGGCGAGCAAAAUGGCGAGGGGGAGCGCACGCAGAGCUGCGGGAGGAGGAAGAUUGAUUUUUUUUUCAAAAGUAUUUUAAUCACAAAGGUAGAUUUUUUUUUCUUUUCUUGUAAGGAGAAAAUGAAAUCCUCCACAAUGAUGUAAAUUUGGUUGGUUUGAAUCAAAGAGCCAUCGGUUUUGGUCCAAACUCGGAUUACGGCCGAGCGAGCACGAGCACGAGCAGAAUACCAACCGGACGGACGGACGGACGGACUCUCGGGUACUGUACGACUGUACUACCGAGCGUACCGAGCGUAGAUAGAUAGAAGAGUUGGGGACGGAGACGGAGACGGAGACGGACAGCUCCCCGCCGCCGCCGCCGCCUCCUCCUCUCCUCUUUCUCUCCUUAUAGGCAGAAGAGGAAGAAGGAAGCCGACCGCCCGCAAUCCACAGCUCCACCAGGUAAGCCCUCCCCUGCUCCAAGACAAGAGAUUGAGACAGAUGGAGGAGUUCAUCAGCCUCGGCGCAUCCGAGCCUGGCGCCUCGGAAGGCAUCAUAGAUCUCGACCAUGCCCUCCAAGUCGAUGCCGUCGAUUUGAAUCUGAAUCUCAAUGCACAACCACAAGGCAAGCCUAGUACUAGUACUAGUUCCCUCCUCGACAUCAUCGACCUCGAGGAAGGGCAGGUCGCCUCCCAAGAAGCCAGUGCCCAACAUGCGCAGGGGACAGCAGCAGACAACCCCCACCAGGCCAAGCCCCAACAAGAAGCCCUGGGUGCCAAUGGAGGAGUGGGGCCGCCUCCUUCUGAUGGGGUCAUCGAUCUCGAAGAAGGUCAGGUUGAGGACAUGGACCUCUCCGACGACAAUGCCCUAGUCGUUGUUACAAAGCAGCAUGGUCGUGUUUCAGCUGCUCAAACACCCAAGGCCAACAAUGAUGGGCCUCCCCUUUCGACACUUAUCGACCAAAGCCCCACAAGAGGAGUUAAAAGAGCCCGUGCUGAAUCAACAGAGCCUUCUGUCCGUGUAGUCUACAACAACUUGACAAGGGAAAGCAAAAAGAAGCUCAUGGAACUGAUGCAACAAUGGUCUGAGUGGCAAGCUAGAAAGCAGCACGCCUCGACGGAAACUGUAGAAGAAGUCUUGGACUGCGGUGAAGAGACUUAUUAUCCAGCAUUACAUGUUGGUUCAGAGCGAUCCUGUGCUGUGUCAUUCUGGGUGGAUAGCCAAGCACGAGGAAAUGCUGCUGUGGAUGAUGGUGCGGUGCCGCUGUAUGAUCGAGAAUUCACAUUGGGUUCAACUCCUAUGGGUGAUUCAUCAAAUGCUGAAGGCAAGAAAGAUAAGGAUGAUUCUCGCUGUUUCAACUGUGGUUCGUACAGUCAUGCUCUGAAGGAUUGCCCAAAGCCUCGUGACCAUGUUGCAAUUAGCAAUGCCCGCAAGCAGCACAACUUGAAAAGGAACCUAUCUAAUGUUGGUAAUCGUGGACAAAAUCGGUACUACCAGAAGACGCCAGGCAAAUUUGAUGAUCUGAAGGCAGGAGUCCUGGGAUCUGAGACUAGAGAAUGCUUGGGGCUCAGGGAAAAUGACCCGCCGCCGUGGCUGCACAGGAUGCGUGAAUUGGGCUAUCCUCCAGGUUACCUAGAUGAGGUGGAAGAUGAAGAUAAGCCAUCUGGCAUCACCAUAUUUGGGGACGGGGAGGUGAAGGAAGAGCAGCAGCAGCAGGAGGAGGGAGAGCUGCUGGAGAAGGGUGAAGCAUCCUCGCCUCGCAAGAGGAUGACGGUGGGGUUCCCUGGAAUAAACGCGCCCGUCCCAGAGAACGGCGACCCUUGGCUGUGGGGCAGCGCUCCUCCGCCCCCUCUUCAGUCCUCCUCGGGCCGUCACAACCAGCACUCGUCAUCAGAUUCGAGGGAUAGAGCUCCUCCUGCUCCUCCAGGCGUUGAGCAUUACUCGUCAUCGAGGUAUCACUCGUACGACUACGGACCGGCGAUCCCUGGUGCGGGAAGAAGAAGCUCAUCUGGCUAUGACGAUGGUGCCUGGACCCCGAGCCCUUCGUUUUCGAGCAGGCAGCACUCGGGCUCGGGUUCGGGCUCGAGGGAAAGGGAAAGGGACUGGGAGAGGGAGAGGGAGAGGGAGAGGGAAAGGGACAGAGAGAGGGACAGGCACUACUACAGCAGCAGGAGGUGAAUGGAAUGCAAAUUUACCAGCAGUUGAAGAAGCCUUUACCUAUCUAUCAUGUCAUUGUUGGUAUAGUAGACAUUUGGCUGUGGUUUAUAACAAACAAACAAAAAAACAGCCUCUCAGAAUGGAUAUUAGUUAGCACUUGCAAUCUCACUGUUUAAGCCUCUCAUGUGGAUGUUAUUUUGUCAAGGACAGUAGUAAUGAGCAAAGAAAGAUCAAACUAGUACUACAAUGUGGGCCAUUUUACCAAUGUUAUCACUGUUUGUUCAUUUGGACGCCAAAGUUU
rnacentral:rRNA from 1 species